UACGUAGGGGGCAAGCGUUGUCCGGAUUUAUUGGGCGUAAAGAGCGUGUAGGCGGCUUGGUAGGUCUGCUGUGAAAACUCGAGGCUCAACCUCGAGCUGUCGGCGGAAACCACUUGGCUAGAGUCCGGGAGAGGGAUGCAGAAUUCCAGGUGUAGCGGUGAAAUGCGUAGAUAUCUGGAGGAACACCGGUGGCGAAGGCAGCUCGCUGGAACGUUACUGACGCUGAGACGCGAAAGCGUGGGGAGCGAACAGG
rnacentral:rRNA from 1 species